UACGGAGGAUGCGAGCGUUAUCCGGAUUUAUUGGGUUUAAAGGGUGCGUAGGCGGGCUUUUAAGUCAGCGGUAAAAAUUCGGGGCUCAACCCCGUCCGGCCGUUGAAACUGGAGGCCUUGAGUGGGCGAGAAGAAGGCGGAAUGCGUGGUGUAGCGGUGAAAUGCAUAGAUAUCACGCAGAACCCCGAUUGCGAAGGCAGCCUUCCGGCGCCCUACUGACGCUGAGGCACGAAAGUGCGGGGAUCGAACAGG
rnacentral:rRNA from 1 species